CUGGGCGUUCCGCAGAUGACUAUACGGGCUUGCCUUGGGAGCAAGAGUUCGCAGGUUUGAAUCCUGCCGCCCAGACCA
rnacentral:tRNA from 1 species